UAUGGCCAUAUGAUGUUGAAACACCAGUUCCCGUACGAUCACUGAAGUUAAGCAAUGUUGAGCCUUGUCAGUACUGGGUGACC